GUGGGAGUGGUGGCUACAGGAACCCAUCAGAGCCAAACUUGGGGCCAGAAAGUCCCUCACAGCUCAGUGCGGCUGUAUUGAGGGUGGGACCACCCCCAUUAGCUUUCCUCCCCUGUCCUCCUGCCACAUAGACUCCAACGCGGCCCAGUCAAGGGCAUGUCACUGUCUGAACUGACAGUGAGUGAGCCCAGCAACCAAACCCAGCGUGGGGAGCUUGGGAAGCACCCACAUGGGGUGGCUGUGGAUGCCGGGCUCAGCUCACAUGCAGACACAUGGGUCUAAUGAUCACACCAUGGACGUGGGGAACUGCAGACCAGCCUUGGGUCCCAGACCAAAGACCAGCAGCUCUGAAGACAGGAGUCCACGCAGGUGGGAGCAGUGUGGGCCCAACCCUCACAGGACCAAGUGCCUGCUAACCAAAGACACCCACGCAGGUGGGAGCAGUGUGGGCCUGACCAUCCCAGGACCAAGUGCCUGCUAACCAAAGAUACUCAUGCGGGCAGGAACAAUGUGGGCCCAACCUUCACAGGACCAAGUGCCUGCUAACCAGACUUCAACAUUUCCCACAGGAUUCAAACAUGACCCAGAUCUCAUAAAGUCAUAUUCAAAAUGUCUAGAAUAUAGCCCAAAAUUGCUUGACACACGAAGAACCACAACAUUUCAACUUGCAGCUGGGCACCGCGGCUCACACCUGAAACCCUAGUUCCCUGGGAGGCCACGGCUGCAGGGAGCAAUCACCGGGCCGCUGCACUCCAGCCUGGGUGACAGAGACCCUGUUUCUAAAAAAUAAAAAUAAAAAAUAAAAGAUUCAAUGUGCAAA
rnacentral:lncRNA from 10 species